ensembl:lncRNA
CAUUGUUAUAACAGAAACUCUUGUUGUUUUUUUUUUGUCUCUACGUACUAAGCUAUUUUUGUUCUUUGCGAGACAACAAUUUCAUACCUUGGUGAUUUUGAACAAAGUACUACUUAAAAUUGAAAUGUCAUGUCAACUUGACUGGAAAAAGGAUCCAGAAGUUACUAAAAGGAAAAGUUUGUGACAGAUUUUUUUUUCCAGUCUUGCUUACAAUUAUGAUUCUCUUUUUGAAGUUUAGAUAAUUCUGUAGUAUUUGCAGAAGGUGCAUAGGGAACAUGUAGAAGAUUUCAAGAGAGGAACUAAAAUCUUAUGAGUAAUGUCUGGGUUUUUUGUUCUUGUUUUUUGGUGUACCUCUCUAGACAAUUAUUAAUGCAUGACUAAUUUCAUGUUGUAAACCUUUCUGAUAUAUUUCUAAUCUUUCAGUCACUGGCAUAACAGGUACUAUUAUGACAUGGAAAUAUGCAAGCCCACUCACCCUUGAUAAGCACAUGGUAAACUGACCUAAAAUACAGUUGCUAUGCAAAGUGAAGUUUUACCUUUUCAAGUAUUCAUUUUUGUCUCAAAUAUACAGCUACAAAUGUCGAUACACAAAUAAUUGUUAACUGUAAAUUCAAAACAGCAAUCCUGCAUCAACAGAAAACUGAAUUCCUCCCUCGUGAAAUUGUAUUUGUGAGGUAGUGUACCCUGAGGGUCAGGCCAAGUGAAUAAUAACCAGUAAAGCUGAUGGGAGCAAGGAACUUCCUGCUUUCUAGCACAACUAUUCUUAGGAGCACAGCUGCGAUCUGUAAGCUCCCCAGAGAGAAGAGGCCAAUGCAAGGUAGAAGGAAAAGGGAUAGGAUGACAGUAUCUCUUUGAGGUUUGUCUUUUUCUGCCCUGUUCCAGAAGAUUAUUGUCACAGGAAAUGAAGUAGUCUCUGCAAUCAGAAAGAUAGGCAGGCAACCAUUACGACUACCCUGCAAUGAGAACAACUCCUGAUGGACAGAGGUCAGCCAUAGCUGAGCCCUUCGAACCUCCUCACUUUUGUAAUUGUCCUAAGAAGAACUGCACUGAUACUGGACCCAUGUUAUUUUCCCCUCUCCAUCCAGUAAAAAAUUCAGUACACACAAGUAUGACAAAUAAAUAAUCCUCAGCAUAUUUGCUAUGUAUUUUGAUAGGUUCUGUAAGAUUAAGCACAUUAUCUGGAAAGCCAGCUGUGUCCUUUACUCCUACUCCUCCCUGUUAUUGAUAAGUCCCUUACUCAAAUGGAUGACAUGUUGAACCUCGUUGCACUGACGCUUUGGACUUUAUCUCCUGGUUCUUAUCUCUUCUGCCAUGCAAAAUACGUAAAUGAAAACCCCAACUUCUGCACGUUAACAGCAAAAAAGAAAAAAAAAAAAAAGAGAGAGAGAAGCACGUCUAUUCCUUCUGCUAUUCUUUACAAGCAGAAGACCUGAAUACUAAUGAAAGAGUACAGUCCCUAAUAUCAGAGCAGACUAUCAAUAGGGAGCAUGAGUCCUCUUUCAACAGUAAGAAAUAUAUUGUAGCUGCUGCUGCAUCUUUCUCAGUACACAUGGUGCAGGAUGUUCCCUGUAUCAGUCAAUGCUAUGCGUCCAGAAACAAAUUGCUGCUCUUAUUGCUGCUGCCAUGUCUAGCAACCCAAGUAAUGAGUAGCUUAUAUCAUGGUAGGCACUUCACACAGGCAGAAAACAGUCUGCCUCAGAAGACUUAGACUUAUGCCAACCAAACACACACACACAUACACACACACACACAAG